GGCUGUCCAUUCAGCUCACUCACACACUUGAGUUUAAAAAACGAUCCCUGUGUAGCAUGGCCCCUGCGCAAGGAUGACACGCAAAUUCGUGAAGCGUUCCAUAUUUAA